rnacentral:rRNA from 1 species
UGCAGUCGAGCGGUUGACGGGAGCUUGCUCCCUGAUUCAGCGGCGGACGGGUGAGUAAUGCCUAGGAAUCUGCCUAUUAGUGGGGGACAACGUUUCGAAAGGAACGCUAAUACCGCAUACGUCCUACGGGAGAAAGCAGGGGACCUUCGGGCCUUGCGCUAAUAGAUGAGCCUAGGUCGGAUUAGCUAGUUGGUGAGGUAAAGGCUCACCAAGGCGACGAUCCGUAACUGGUCUGAGAGGAUGAUCAGUCACACUGGAACUGAGACACGGUCCAGACUCCUACGGGAGGCAGCAGUGGGGAAUAUUGGACAAUGGGCGAAAGCCUGAUCCAGCCAUGCCGCGUGUGUGAAGAAGGUCUUCGGAUUGUAAAGCACUUUAAGUUGGGAGGAAGGGCAGUAAAUUAAUACUUUGCUGUUUUGACGUUACCGACAGAAUAAGCACCGGCUAACUCUGUGCCAGCA